rnacentral:rRNA from 1 species
UACAGAGGUCCCAAGCGUUACUGAGAAUCACUGGGUUUAAAGGGUGCGUAGGUGGUCCGUUAAGUUCGUUGUGAAAUCCCUGGGCUCAACCCAGGAACUGCUUCGAAUACUGGCGGACUUGAGGCCAGUAGGGGUCACUAGAACUGACGGUGGAGCGGUGAAAUGCGUAGAUAUCGUCAGGAAUGCCGGUGGUGAAGACGGGUGACUGGGCUGGUUCUGACACUGAGGCACGAAAGCGUGGGGAGCGAUCCGG